rnacentral:lncRNA from 1 species
UAAAAUCAGAAUGAAAACAUAAAUUAUACGUGUGGAUUAAUAAUUAAAAUUAGCUACAUACUUAUAUAGACAAUAUACAAAAAAAUUAAUCUUGUUUCUUUUUGGGGGGUGGGUGGUCCACUUAGGUGGAUUGCCCGGCAGUCCCCUGGCUAUACACCUCUGAAGAAGGGGAAAGUUAACUAUUUGCAACUCUUAUAAGUGGUAAUUAACCUAUGUGUCUAUGAUAUGUUAGUCAGACAUGAUAGUUGCAAAUAGUUAAAUGCCCCUAAAGAAGGGAUAAAGAUGAUUAUAUAUAUUGGGACGUAUUGAAUAACUACCAAAGAUUUAAUAUAUAUUUAUAGAAAAUCAUAUGCUAUCUCUGUUUUACAUAUAAGAAUUUCCAGUACUAACUGGAUUCAUACGAACG